AAUUUAAAACGGCACCACCGUGUGUGUUUUAAAAGAACAAAUGCCAUUCAAUAAUCUUAUUGAAUACAUACAUCUGUUCAUAUUUACUUGCUAAAACAAACGUGUGUGAGUUUAGUGAGUCACGUUGGCUGAUGAAAUGUUAAUAAGUGUAAGUUUAAUUAAUUUAAGUUUAACUGAAACAAUCUAAGGAACAUAAACAGGUUCCUUGAUACAGUUUACACCAAUAGAGUGAGAUACCAUCUGACCCGGAAGUUGCCUGUUUCCCGGAAGCAAACACGUGGUUUUUCCAAAGAUAUAAAUUGAGCUUCAGCCUCUCCAACAGUCUCUCUUCCGCGUUGCAGUGAAACGGGUCUCACGCGCUUGCCGCAGAGAGACAGAAGCCAACGACGUGCGAGAAGCUUCUUUUUCACGAGGAUUUUAAGAGCCUGGACUGGACGCCUCUUGAUGAGGUAAAGGGAACGCUGCAUGAACAGAGUCCACAGCUGGAUUGAUGCGCUUUGCUAUUUUUUUAAAGUUUAUUCAUAAGGUUUUUGAAAAGAUUUGCCGACUCUAAUUAUUGAAUAUCUGUAUCUUCUAUGCAUAUUUCUAAUCAUUUUGACUUGAUAUAGUUUUGUAACACUGUAUGAACAUGGACAUUCACUGUUAAAUAAAGCUAAAUGAGUUAAACUA